ensembl:snoRNA
GCAUGGGUUUGGAUUUGUGGCAGGUCUGUCUCCCUAGGUCUAUCACAGUACCCCAAGCCAGAGCCUGGACACAUAGGGUCUAGCCUAUGUGUCUGUAGGCAGCUAACACUGCAAUAGAUUGAACAAUG